GGAGGAAAAGAAACCAACCGGGAUUCCCUUAGUAACGGCGAGCGAACAGGGAAGAGUCCAGCGCCGAAUUCCGCGCCCGUCACGGGCGUCCGGAAAAUGUGGCGUUUAGGAGGGAGCGUGCCGGAGGUUGGCUCUGCAGCAAGUCCCCCUGACCGGGGCUGUUACCCAGAGUGGGUGCGAGGCCCAUAGCUGCUAGGUCUCCUUCGGAUGCGACCUCUUGGGAGUCGGGUUGCUUGGGAGUGCAACCCUAAUCGGGUGGUAAACUCCACCUAAGACUAAAUACUGCCGUGAGACCGAUAGCAAACAAGUACCGUGAGGGAAAGUUGCAAAGAACUUUGAAGAGAGAGUUCAAGAGUACGUGAAACUGCUCAGAGGCAAACGGGUGGGCCCUCGAAAUCCUGUGGCGGGAGGAUUCAGUCAGGAUGGAGGGAGGUGACGAACGGUUGACACGAAGGACCCCACUCCGGGCCUGGCCGAUCGCACCGUCUCCUUCUCGCCUGACGCAUUUCUUCCCGCUCGGAAGGACGCCGCAGCCGGUCGGGUAGCUGCGCGUGUCGGCCAUGAGGACGGACUAGGAAGGUGGCCGGUGGCGUCGCUUCGGCUUCGUCGCCGGAUUCUAUCCGGUCCGCCCGUGGCGCGACACCCGACCGAGGUUCUUAGUGGUCCGAGAUCGGGCCCUGCCGUCCCCUGCCCCGGGUUUUUUUCCCGGUGGUAGCGACGUGAAGCCGGCAGGCGUGCGUCGGCGCCGUCGUUUCACCCUCCGUGGUGUGCGGCGCGUCGCCGUCGUCGUUGGUCGGAGUCGUCUCGCUGGGGUUUCUGGCGGCUAGCGGCGAGUAGGUCGGUCACCCACCCGACCCGUCUUGAAACACGGACCAAGGAGUCUAACAUGUGCGCGAGUCACGGGGUCUUGUUUAGGCCCAGAGGCGCAAUGAAAGUGAAGGCCGGCCUCGACGCCGGUCGUGUUGGGACUCCCGGCUCCUCGCGGGUCGGGAAGCACCAACGACCCGUCCUAUCCGAUUCAUCGGUUGGGCGGAGUCUGAGCGUACACGUUGGGACCCGAAAGAUGGUGAACUAUGCCUGGGCAGGACGAAGCCAGAGGAAACUCUGGUGGAGGUCCGUAGCGGUUCUGACGUGCAAAUCGAUCGUCAGACCCGGGUAUAGGGGCGAAAGACUAAUCGAACCAUCUAGUAGCUGGUUCCCUCCGAAGUUUCCCUCAGGAUAGCUGGCGCUCGGAGGAAUCAGUCUCAUCCGGUAAAGCGAAUGAUUAGAGGCCUUGGGGCCGAAACGACCUCAACCUAUUCUCAAACUUUAAAUGGGUGAGAAGUCCGGCUUGCAUGACUGAAGCCCGGACGUAAGGAUGAGAGCGCCCAGUGGGCCACUUUUGGUAAGCAGAACUGGCGCUGUGGGAUGAACCAAACGCCGGGUUACGGCGCCCGAUGCGAGACGCUCAUGAGACCCCAUGAAAGGUGUUGGUUGCUAUAGACAGCAGGACGGUGGCCAUGGAAGUCGGAAUCCGCUAAGGAGUGUGUAACAACUCACCUGCCGAAGCAACUAGCCCUGAAAAUGGAUGGCGCUCCAGCGUCGAGCCCAUACCCGGCCGCUGCGACAGAGCUUCUUGGAGGCUUACGUCACAGUGAGUAGGAGGGUCGCAGCGGCGAGCGUCGAAGGUGCCGGGCGUGAGCCCGCCUGGAGCCGCCGCUGGUGCAGAUCUUGGUGGUAGUAGCAAAUACUCAAGUGAGAACCUUGAGGACUGAGGUGGAGAAGGGUUCCAUGUGAACAGCAGUUGAACAUGGGUCAGUCGGUCCUAAGGGAUAGGAGAAAUCCGUUCCGAAGCGGGACGUUGAGCAUGGCUUGUAAUCGUGAGCUUGUCCCGCUUACGACCGAAAGGGAAUCGGGUCAAUAUUCCCGAACCCGGACACGGAGAUCGGGCCCUCGGGUCCAAGUGCGGUAACGCAACCGAACUCGGAGAUGUCGACGGGAGUCCCGGGAAGAGUUGUCUUUUCUUUGUAAGGGUUCGGGUCCCUGGAAUCGGCUCGUCCGGAGAUAGGGAUGCUGUUCCCGUAAAGCAUCGCGGCUCUUGCGAUGUCCGGAGCGCUCCUGUCGGCCCUUGAAAAUCCGAGGGAGGAAGUGUGAUUUUCGUGCCGGACCGUACCCAUAUCCGCAGCAGGUCUCCAAGGUGAACAGCCUCUAGUCGAUA
rnacentral:rRNA from 1 species